GUUAAGAUGUGUCCUGAUCUCCUAAACCCACAGAACCUCAAAGUCUCAAGAUCAUGUUUCUUCUUUGGGAAAUUAGAAGGCUCCUCAUAAAGGGUGAAGUACUUUGCCAGAAUUAUGAGGAUGAAAAAGAGCACCUACUUUCAAGGAGCCCUCAUUCUAGAAAAGAAAGCAGACAUAUGCACAAAAUCCCGUAACUCCAGGAAGAUUGGAGAGGCUCUGAAUGUUAUCGCUACAUCUCGUAGUGACCUAGACAUAGCCCUGGUCCACGAAGUCUUCAGACUGAGGUGUGUCACCCCAUGGGUCGAGCUACGCUUCCCUGUUCCUUUUUGAUAUUACCCCUUUGCCCUGUUUGGGAUAGAAUGUUCCAUGGAGAUGCCCUUUGUGUGUCCCCUUCUCUUGCUCUGCCUUUGGGUGUGGCCUUCCUGG